rnacentral:rRNA from 1 species
GGUUAAGCGAAUAAGCGUACACGGUGGAUGCCUAGGCAAUCAGAGGCGAUGAAGGACGUGCUAAUCUGCGAUAAGCGUCGGUAAGGUGAUAUGAACCGUUAUACCCGACGAUUUCCGAAUGGGGAAACCCAAUAUCCAAUGGAUAUUAUCAUGACGUGAAUACAUAGCGUCAUGAAGCGAACCGGGAGAACUGAAACAUCUCAGUACCCCGAGGAAAAGAAAUCAACCGAGAUUCCCCUAGUAGCGGCGAGCGAACGGGGAACAGCCCAGAGUCUUAAUCAACAGCAGCAUCAGGAGAACGGUCUGGAAAGUCCGGCAGUAAAGGGUGAUAGCCCCGUAUCUGAAGAUGCUGUUAUUGUGAACUCGACGAGUAGGGCGGGACACGUGUUAUCCUGUCUGAAUAUGGGGGGACCAUCCUCCAAGGCUAAAUACUCCUGAUUGACCGAUAGUGAACCAGUACCGUGAGGGAAAGGCGAAAAGAACCCCGGCGAGGGGAGUGAAAAAGAACCUGAAACCGUGUACGUACAAGCAGUAGGAGCCUCUUUAUGGGGUGACUGCGUACCUUUUGUAUAAUGGGUCAGCGACUUAUAUUCUGUAGCAAGGUUAACCGUAUAGGGGAGCCGUAGGGAAACCGAGUCUUAACUGGGCGAAUGAGUUGCAGGGUAUAGACCCGAAACCCGGUGAUCUAUCCAUGGGCAGGUUGAAGGUUGGGUAACACUAACUGGAGGACCGAACCGACUAAUGUUGAAAAAUUAGCGGAUGACUUGUGGAUGGGGGUGAAAGGCCAAUCAAACCGGGAGAUAGCUGGUUCUCCCCGAAAGCUAUUUAGGUAGCGCCUCGUGAAUUCAUCUUCGGGGGUAGAGCACUGUUUCGACUAGGGGGUCAUCCCGACUUACCAACUCGAUGCAAACUGCGAAUACCGAAGAAUGUUAUCACGGGAGACACACGGCGGGUGCUAACGUCCGUCGUGAAGAGGGAAACAACCCAGACCGCCAGCUAAGGUCCCAAAGUCAUGGUUAAGUGGGAAACGAAGUGGGAAGGCUCAGACAGCCAGGAUGUUGGCUUAGAAGCAGCCAUCAUUUAAAGAAAGCGUAAUAGCUCACUGGUCGAGUCGGCCCGCGCGGAAGAUGUAACGGGGCUAAACCAUGCACCGAAGCUGCGGCAGCGACACUAUGUGUUGUUGGGUAGGGGAGCGUUCUGUAAGCCUGCGAAGGUGUACUGUGAGGUAUGCUGGAGGUAUCAGAAGUGCGAAUGCUGACAUAAGUAACGAUAAUGCGGGUGAAAAACCCGCACGCCGGAAGACCAAGGGUUCCUGUCCAACGUUAAUCGGGGCAGGGUGAGUCGACCCCUAAGGCGAGGCUGAAAAGCGUAGUCGAUGGGAAACGGGUUAAUAUUCCCGUACUGGUGGUAACUGCGAUGGGGGAACGGAGAAGGCUAGGUUGUCCGGGCGACGGUCGUCCCGGUUCAAGCAUGUAGGCAGAGUGAUUAGGCAAAUCCGGUCACUUAAUGCUGAGGUGUGAUGACGAACCACUAAGGUGGUGAAGCAAUUGAUGCCCUGCUUCCAGGAAAAGCCUCUAAGCUUCAGGUUACCAACAAUCGUACCCCAAACCGACACAGGUGGUCAGGUAGAGAAUACUCAGGCGCUUGAGAGAACUCGGGUGAAGGAACUAGGCAAAAUGGUGCCGUAACUUCGGGAGAAGGCACGCUGGCGGUAAGUGAAGUCCCUUGCGGACGGAGCCGAAGCCAGUCGAAGAUACCAGCUGGCUGCAACUGUUUAUUAAAAACACAGCACUGUGCAAACACGAAAGUGGACGUAUACGGUGUGACGCCUGCCCGGUGCUGGAAGGUUAAUUGAUGGGGUUAUCCGUAAGGAGAAGCUCUUGAUCGAAGCCCCAGUAAACGGCGGCCGUAACUAUAACGGUCCUAAGGUAGCGAAAUUCCUUGUCGGGUAAGUUCCGACCUGCACGAAUGGCGUAAUGAUGGCCAGGCUGUCUCCACCCGAGACUCAGUGAAAUUGAACUCGCUGUGAAGAUGCAGUGUACCCGCGGCAAGACGGAAAGACCCCGUGAACCUUUACUAUAGCUUGACACUGAACAUUGAGCCUUGAUGUGUAGGAUAGGUGGGAGACUAUGAAAUGUGGACGCCAGUCUGCAUGGAGUCAACCUUGAAAUACCACCCUUUAACGUUUGAUGUUCUAACCUAGGUCCAUAAUCUGGAUCGGGGACCGUGUCUGGUGGGUAGUUUGACUGGGGCGGUCUCCUCCUAAAGAGUAACGGAGGAGCACGAAGGUUGGCUAAGCAUGGUCGGACAUCAUGCGGUUAGUGCAAAGGCAUAAGCCAGCUUGACUGUGAGAGUGACGGCUCGAGCAGGUACGAAAGUAGGUCUUAGUGAUCCGGUGGUUCUGAAUGGAAGGGCCAUCGCUCAACGGAUAAAAGGUACUCCGGGGAUAACAGGCUGAUACCGCCCAAGAGUUCAUAUCGACGGCGGUGUUUGGCACCUCGAUGUCGGCUCAUCACAUCCUGGGGCUGAAGUAGGUCCCAAGGGUAUGGCUGUUCGCCAUUUAAAGUGGUACGCGAGCUGGGUUUAGAACGUCGUGAGACAGUUCGGUCCCUAUCUGCCGUGGGCGUUGGAAGAUUGAGAGGGGUUGCUCCUAGUACGAGAGGACCGGAGUGAACGCACCACUGGUGUUCGGGUUGUCAUGCCAAUGGCAUUGCCCGGUAGCUAAGUGCGGAAGAGAUAACCGCUGAAAGCAUCUAAGCGGGAAACUUGCCUCGAGAUGAGUCUUCCCUGUCACCUUGAGUGACCUAAAGGAACGUUUAAGACUAAGACGUUGAUAGGCUGGGUGUGUAAGCGUAGCGAUACGUUGAGCUAACCAGUACUAAUGAACCGUGAGGCUUAACCUG